AUUGAACGCUGGCGGAAUGCUUUACACAUGCAAGUCGAACGGUAGAGGGGGCAACCCCUCGAGAGUGGCGAACGGGUGAGUAAUAUAUCGGAACGUGCCCAGUCGUGGGGGAUAACGUAGCGAAAGUUACGCUAAUACCGCAUACGAUCUAAGGAUGAAAGAAGGGGAUCGCAAGACCUCGCGUGAAUGGAGCGGCCGAGAUCAGAUUAGGUAGUUGGUGGGGUAAAGGCUCACCAAGCCAACGAUCUGUAGCUGGUCUGAGAGGACGACCAGCCACACUGGAACUGAGACACGGUCCAGACUCCUACGGGAGGCAGCAGUGGGGAAUUUUGGACAAUGGACGCAAGUCUGAUCCAGCCAUUCCGCGUGCAGGAUGAAGGCCCUCGGGUUGUAAACUGCUUUUGUACGGAACGAAAAGGUCUCUCUUAAUACGGGGGGCUCAUGACGGUACCGUAAGAAUAAGCACCGGCUAACUACGUGCCAGCCGCCGCGGUAA
rnacentral:rRNA from 1 species